GUACUUCCACAGCCUUCUUCUUGUAGUUUGUUUUCCCAUUUGGGUUUACCAGGUCUCCACACUCUUCAUUUUAAGGCAGCUUUCUGGCUGGUUUCUCCAGGCUAUUCUGACAGGCACAGCCUCCAAGUUUUCCUCCCCUACAGUUGCUGCUACUACCGCCUGAAUACUUGUGUGGAACGUCUCUGAUGACAAAGCAGAGGCAGAAGAAAAAGAAGAGGGGAAAAAAAGAACGAGAACCUCAGGUGACUUUCAGACCCCGCUGGGGAGCUCAGACAUCCUCACAUCCUCACUGACUUCCUAUCUCUUUCCAAUCUUACCUGGGAACAAGUCUUGUUUCUCGACUACAUUUUCUGCUUCCCUCCUUGUGCUUUUUCAAACAGAGGAAAGAAAAUGCAGCAAGAAACACUUAACUUCUCUGUAUCAUUCCAAUUUUAGUAUAUGUGCUGCCAAAGCGAGCACUUCAUGGCAUUGUCUGAUUUUACACACUGAGCGCUUGCUCCAGCUUGGGGAGCAGACAGGGUUUGAACCACUCAGAGAAGCAGAAUUGAGAUGUAGCAAGAAAAGGCGCAUGGUAAAUAUUGGGUGAAGCUUUUAACGUAGUGAGGAGAUGACUGAAAGAGAAUUCACAUGACAGAGGGUUUGCAGGAAAUUGACUGUGCUAAAAUAAAUAGCACAUGCAGUAUGAAGGGUUAAGCACCCAGUGUUUACAAGUGUAGAACAGGCUGUGCACAUCCAAGUCACAUUAGAUUGCACUUACUUAUUCAUUUUGGUUGUCGGCUGCCGCAGGCGAGAAAAGACAAAACAGAAUUUCAGCAUUUGGACUUGUAUUUACCUUUUCCUCUCCUCUCCUUUCUUUUUCUUUUCCAAACACAGAAGGCUCAAAUAAGUGACUGUAGUGUCCCUGGGUGUAAAAGAAGCUGGCUUGUGUCAGUCCUAUCUGCCAGGACGGACGCUGUGUGCUCUUCUUUCAUAUUUCUAUUCAUUACAUUUCACUCCUAAUUUAUAUAGCCAGUUAGCCAGUAACUUGCACGAGUCUGACAGCAGCAUCUACCUGUGCCUGCCUAUUUAAUGGCUUGUCAGCAAUACCAUUAUAAAAUCCCUUUUUUUAUGGAUGCAUAACAUGGUCAUAAAAUGUGUUUUCCUAGCUUCAGAAUUGUCCAACACGAUUUCAUCUCCAUGAGCACUUUAUUUCAAAAAAGUAGCAUGAUACAACGCGUGAUGAAAAUAUAUUACCAGGCAUUUCUCACUGAUCCCUGCCUACCCCUUCCAGAACAGAGGUCUUUCCUUAAGACUCCCAGCCCCCAGCCUUGCUGAAUGCAAAGCUCUAGUCUCUGCAGAGCAGCUCUAUCUAUGUGUGAGGUAGGUUUAAAUAAAACCAGCCCAUAUGCAUGAAUAGCUCAGCACCCACUCCAGUUGAACUCACCAACCAGUUUAGGAGGGACCAGGCUGUGUCCCCACAGAUGGAAAAUCAGAUACGUGAUGUUGCAUGGCUGCCACCUACCUGUUUCACAUGAGCUCCUCACUGGAGCAUUUCCACCUUCCUGAACUAAUUGGAACAAAUAGAAACAAGCGUCACUGAGCUGGGUGCACUUCAUGCUGUUGAUGCAAGAGAAAUUUAUCCCUAUCAUGACCCCUCUAUGGUAGAGUCAACACGUCCCUGUGCUGGGGGCUGAGCAGAUUCAGGAGGCACAUGAGUUCUCCACCAAACUCCUCUCUGGAGGGCACAAUUUUUACACAGAAUGCUGCUGUGAUGUAAGUGAUUGUACGAGGGCUGCUCUGACAGUAAUGUCUCCUAUGUUAUUAAGUUGGCCCAUGAUGUCAGAGGCAGAUGUUGGUGGUAUGGCAAUAGAGGUUGAACCUUCCCACCAGUAUCCCAUUACAUUUUGUUGCCGUGCAACAGAUGGCAGCACAGGAGUAGUCUGACAAAAUGGCGUCUGACAUGAAAGUGCAUGGGAAGAAAUGGUGUGUCAUUGAAUUCCUCCAUGUGGAAAACAUGGCACUCACUGGCAUUCACUGAUGCUUGCUGAAUGUUUCUGAAGACCAAACAGUGGAUAUGAGCAUAGUGAGGCAGUGGCUGAUGCAUUUCAGCAGUGGCAACAGUAACAGCGGGUCACCUCUGCUGGUGUGGAGCUGAGAAUUUGCUCUAUGAAACUGUUAUUGUGCUCUUUGUAUCCUGUAGUUUCCAUAAUAAAUAAAUAAAAUAAAAUAAACUAGGAAAUAAAUAGGAGGCAUUACUUUCAGAGUGACCUAUGUAAAUAUAUAUAUGUGGUCUCUUGCUCACUUGUCCUGAAAAAAAAUCUAGGCCUAAGUCUUAGAAUUGAUCCUCAAAAUUACUAGUCCUAGAUUUACAAUUUUCUCCUUUCUUCUCAAAGGCAUUCAAGAACCACAAGUCUUGUUUCUAAAGAUCAUGGGAUACAAUUUUGGCUGCAUGGAUGUAAAAACCAACAGACAAGCAAACCAGCCCUUCCAUUCCUACCAAUUGAACCCAUGGUUUGGGGGACACUAUUUUUUUAAUCUCACUGCAGAAUGCACAGUGCUGACUUUAAUAUCAAACUAUUCCAAAAUUAUAUUUUAACCUCGAACAACUGCAAGACAUAGAAAGGUAUUUUUAAAGGAAAAAAAAAAAAAAAGAAAAAAAAAGAAAAGGGGUAUAAAGAGCACUGUUUGCACUGUAAAUAAAACAUCUGGUUUCAGUUCCCUAACACUCCGGACCUAAUUCUUCCUAAAUGUUGGUAACUCUGAACUCUCUGUAUCCUUGAUGGAUGAGCUGGGCUAACCGCAGUCAAAUGAAGGAAUGGCAUUUUUCAUGCUUCUGGCAGCACGGCAAGUCUUUAAUCUAUUGCUUAAAUGAGUGCUCCCUAUGAAAAAAAAAUGCACGAUAAAGGAUGCAAACCCACAAGUAAUGCCAUGCACAGUCUUAAUGCUUUCUGAUGGGAGGAGCCACAGGACAAGCUGAGAAGAGCAUUGACCCCAUGUGCAGUCCUAUGGAGAUUCCAUUUCCUGGCCUGAGCUUCACUUUAUAUUUGAACAAACACAAAGGUCUGCCCCAUUAAUGCUACCAAACAAAAAAGAGGCCUCAACCCAAGUUGUUGGCUUUCUCCAGAUCUAACACACAAAGCUUUGCAUGUUCACGGCGACAAGACCCUCCAUGAAGUUGAGGCCUUCUGCUCCCAAGAGUUUAUUCUCUGCUGGUGCAGAGCACGUUUCAGUUCCAGCUGUAACGAGAUGAGUUUCUUCUGCCUGUUUGUGACCUGACAGAGGCCGUGGUGAGAGGCUGCUCAACAGCUGGUGGGAACAUUUUUCUUCUCAGUGAUAAGUGUAUUUGGACACUUGAUUUAGUAGAGCCAAUAAGGGCCAACUAUGUUAUAUGAGGCAAGUAGGGAAGAGUGUAAAUCCUCCUACUCGCAUGACCAGUUUCAUCCCACAUGCCUAAUUAUUCAGGCAAUCUCCAAAGACUUCUGUGGGCAGCCUUCAUCAUGCAUCUUCUGAGCUCUUAGGCUAAAUGUUUCUUUUACAGCACUCACUGAUGUGGUUAAAAGGCCGAAUCCAAGCCUAUUUUACAAUGUUUGCUUUCUACAUGGGGUGCUUCUGUAUAUAUAUAUAUAUAUAUAUAUUUGAAAUCUGAAUUUACAGUGACUACUCAAGGUAUUUAGAAAUGUUGUACAGUAGAUAAACUCUAAUUUCAAACACAGCCUGUAUACUUUCUAAUGGAGAACACAUACCUAGGAAAUUCUUCAAUCACCAUGCAUAAACACUUUUCCGCUUGAAACCGUUUGAAAGCAAAUAAACCAGAAAUUUAUAGGGCUACAUUAAGACACAAAGUUUACAGUGCUGAUGCUUAUGGAUAAUAGUAAAUGUCCUCAAAGCACAACGUCACCAAACAGAGAAGCUGCCCUUCCCAGCAAAGCAGCUGAAGGACCGUCAGAAUAAUAAUGCUCAGUGUAUAUUAAACUUCCUGAGCGGAAAUGCAGGGAGAGGUGCUGGGCUCUUCUCCGUGGGAACCGAUGACAGGAUGCGAAGGAACAGCACAAGGCUGAACCAGGAUUGGACAUUAGGAGAAAUUUCUUUAGCAUGAGGGUGAUGUAACACUGGAACAGGCUUCCUAUUGAGAUAGUGGAUGCCCCAUACCUGUCAGUGUUCAGGGGGAAAUUGGGCAAUGCCCUAAAUAAUAUACUUCAACUUCUGCAUAGCCCUGAAGUGCUCAAGCAGUUGGACUAGACGAUCUUUGCAGGGCCCAUCCAACCAAACUAUUCUAUUCCAUAGUAUAGGUGCUUCUGAAGCCUUUAUUAAGACAGCCUUAUUUCCAAGUAACCAGAAUGCACAGCUCACAGUUGUUUGAAGAAUAUUUCUGAUAUUACAUAUGGUGCAUACAGAAAGAACAAACUAUUAUUGCAAGAGUCGAAGAACGUGCUUUGUUCAUGCUGUGCGUUUCAGUAGAUAAAUCAUUCUAUAGACUCAAGUUAAAAAGAAUAAUUUUAUGGCCCAGUUUACUAUGUAAAAUACUCUUUUUAAUCCUUGUAAAAAUAAGCUUCGCGUUAAUCCUCCUGUCUGAAAGCAAUUUUGCAGACGACUUUGAACAUUUCUAUCACAUUUUAUUAGCUUUAAGCUGAUCUAAUUUCUCUAAUUUUCAUCAGGUUUAUUAUGAUCUGUCCAGAUAUCGGAUUUUUACAGUUGAUCUGGUUUUAUAUAAAACCCUCAAUCUGGUACAUUUUAAUUUCCCCAGCAGACAUCUGUCUUCAUCCACAUCUUGUAAAGAACUAAGCACCUUCUUGGCCCCUAAUUAAUUAGAAGCAAUGACCCACGCAUCAGGUAGUAAUAGCAUCCAAUUAGUGGAAAUGUAUGAUGCUUGCAGAAGCAUUAUCAGUCGCAUCAGAGCACAGAGAGAUUUGCUUGUUCAUGCUGCAUGCCCUGGAUGCGAUGUACCAACAAUCUGUAGCCAUGACAGUGUGCUAACACAGACUAAAAAAUCCUACCCCUUGGCCUAGUCUUUUUAAUGUGAAUUUCUAAACACAUUCAGAUGCUAAUAUUUUGCACAUUUAUGACUGCCAUCAGAAAUGCCGUAUCUUCAAGCCUUAAAUACGCUUACCAUCAAACUCAUAGCGGUAAGAUGGAGGUUUGUUAAACAUGUGAGCUAGAACCUGCUGGGCACAGGAAGGCUUUGAAGCAUUCACAACUCCCCUGUGGAAGACUCUUCUCUUCCUGAACAAAGCUUGAAUCUGAUCCCAGAGGCCAGAAACUUCCAUGCCUGUGGGCUGCAGUCACAGAACGACCCAGUUCUCAACAACUAACAAAUUUCCAAGAGGUUUUUGCUGCACAUGUACAGAUCCCAUGUGGAGUCAUUCCAAGAUAUCAAUGAACUGUGUUUCUUAUGAUGCUUUGCAAACAAUUUUGUUAAUACAAUUCACCAUGAAGUAAAUAUGCAGUACCUCCCACAUAAAACAGCAGGAGUUGCACGUAUGUAUUGUAGCAGAGUUUUCUCUCAAUAGCUUUCUGUUGGACUUAAACAGUGACACAGAAAAGUCAAUAGGAAGCUCAAAUUUACAAUUUUCUGUUUGAUGGGAGAAGAGUAGGCACAAAUUGUAACUGACAUCAUAGAGAAGUUCAGAAAUUACUGAAGUACUGAAACAUGGCGAUGUCUGGGACGAUGAAGAUUGUUCUUUGAGUAUCUCUGAAAUACAUUUGCUUGCUCUGAGAAUUCACUUAAUUACAAUUCACCGAAGCUGUGUCUCUGGACUAGCUCUGUAUCAGCAUCCAUAAAAAGCUGGAGUUCAUCCAGACUGAGCACACUGCCACUUGAUAUAACUAACAUGAUCGGCAAUUCAACUCCUAAUAUUGAUUCAAGGAAAGAUGGCACAGAAAAGUGCUGGAGCUAAAAGAUGGAACCAGGCUUGCCAAGGGGCUGCAGCAAGCAGGCUCCAGAAGGCUGAGGAAGCUAAAGCCUCAGUGCUUCAAUUUCCGGUCACCAAGACUGGGGAAAGCCAGAUGUUGACCACUGUGCCUCCAGCUCUGCUACCUUAUGCAGAAGGACGGAGCCUGGACUCAGCAUCUCAUUCUGUUCUCCACCACCACCACCACUCUGGCUUCAUAGCAACAUGGUGGGAAGGAUUUGAAUGCAGACAAAACAAGGGUAUAAGUAUUUACAAUAAUGGCUUCAGGUCUAACCAUAAAUGGUCAUUAAAAAAUGGGAAGCAAGAGCGCUUCUUAUGCGCAUUUAGAAAGAACUAUCAUUGUGCAGAAAGGAAAUUCAUGCAAACUAGUCCAUGUUGCCUGUAUAUGCCCAAUCAUCCCAUGCUCUCUGCUAAUUUGAUGACUGAAAGCACACCCUGUCAUCAAAAUGCCAAGAAAUCCUCAUAGAGUCUCAUCCUAUUAAAAAAAUCCCCAGAAGCUUCCUAUUGAUUUUAAUGAAAGCAGAAAAUGCCUUUAGAGAACAAAGAUGAAACAUUUUUAGACUCAGCUUUCAUAGAUUUUCACUGCUUUUCCAAUGGUGUGAUAUCCAGAAGGCUGUGGAAGUACACAGUUACACAACUACACUUGAUUAGGAUUUAACUUUACCUAUUCUUAUUCAUCUCAUUUCAUUUUUAAACAAGAUUUUCAAAUAAGGCACAUUCAGGCUUUUAAGUCAAUACUUAAAAUCUAGAUUUGUAUAGAUUUAGUCUAAAUAUUUAUUUUGACCAUUAGGCUUACGUCAAAUAAGAGUAUCCAGCUAAAUUAAUAUAAUCAUUCAAUAAUAUUAAUCCAGUGUGUGAAUUCAGACAAACCUUCAAAAAGUAAAAGCAUUAACAGAGCACCAAGCUUUGUAGAAAAGAAUGAAAUGAGAACGUGGUGAGAAGAAAUCAUUUACUGCCAUAAACUGUUUUGAGAAACUGGCCAACUCCUGGGACAAAGCCCCUCGAUACGACCACCCACAGGACACAGGCACAAGGAAACUGCCUGUGAAAGGGAAUGGGGAAAAGAACUGCCCGUGUUUGGUUUAUUUGUUAUUUCAUUGAAAUAAUUGAUCCCUGAUGCUAAAAGAUAGCAGCACUGGUGGGAUUCAAAUACUCCAGACAUUAAUGAAGUCUCUCACUCUCUGGCAAUGGAUUUAAACUGCUUCUACUCCCACUGCACAGUGCCUUCAGCAAAAGAGGCAAUGGUUUACUAUUAAAGUAGGGCAAGUGUUCACAGUGAGAAGGUUAUAAUUGAAAGAGCAAAGCAAGGUCACCCUGUUCAGACUCACCAAUAUGUAAAACAUGCUCCUGGCCACAGGAAGAGCUACAGGAGUGGACCAGAACUCACAUUUACAUACAAAAAAACAAAAAAUAAAACCCAAACAACCCAACAACCAAACACAAAAAUCCCCAACAAAUCCAAGGCAACGAAACUGCUGAUUUCAAAGGCCAUUGCUCAGUCUGAGUACAUCUGGAAAAAAAAUGCAGCUGGUCAAUUAGGUGAUUAAACAAACACCUCCCCCCUUGAAAAACAGCUCUGCUCAGCAGGAACAUUGUUUGCUUAUUUGAAGAAGUUCCUUAACUGGUAAUGUCUUUUUCAUAUCCUUCCAGUCUAGGUCAAAUCCUGAGAAGCUGUUUAAUAACUGCUGACAGAGCAGUUUACCACACGUGUUAGAGGGCUUUAGACACCCGAAAUGCCAUGCCCUGCAUCCAUCACGUGGGCCACAUCCAGAAUCCCUCCUGUGUGGUAAGAAUAGAUCUGAGCUCUAGGAAGUGCUGUAGGUAUUCGACUGGUAGCAUAAAUGAAACCUUUCAUUAAGGUUUGAAUAAUCUUUGAAGCAACGACAGGAGGAAAAACAUCCACUUGGAAGGAACAACCACCUUUGUGCAAAAGAACCAGUGAUCCUUGUCCCUUCCAGCACUGCUUCUAGGUAGCAGUGUGCAAUGGCCAUAAACCAGUGGGCGACAUCAUAAUUUCUAGCACAAGCCAGGACUCUCUUCUUAAGUAUUAUAAUAAUAUUCAUAUAGAACUCCCAGAGUGGUCUGGUUGGCCUGACAGGGUUCCGCACUUCUAUUAAUAAUGCUUUGCUUGAACUUACUGGAUCUUCUAUUUGAUUUAUUAAGUCCUUCACAAGCUUUGGAGUGAUAUGCACAGACACUCAAAUAUCUGCACACAGGAGUUGCUUCACCCAGCCCUGAAGAAGUAGGGUGACACAGCACCUGUUGUCUCUGCACCACCAACCCUACACAGCAACAUCUUUUGACGUACGACCGUGACCAAUUAAAUAAAAGGAACAUUUUAAAUACGCAGAAGGUAAUAGGGCUGGAUCAUGGCCAGCACAGUGAAGCAGGGGAACCAUUCUUUGUAAAAAACUGUACAUUGUUUAGGAAAGUUGAAUGUCUGGAAGCUUUCGAGAGCUUCACACUGGCUGCACUGCAGUACUGGGACAUUCGCAUGUGUGGUGCUCUCUUCCCACCACAGUGUAAGACAGUCGCAAGGCCCUGGGUGAGACUAUUUGUUUCAAAAGGAUAUCUGGAAAUAAAUGGCUUUCUAACCUACUCCUUCUUAGCUGUAAUCACCUCUAUCUUAAUUGGGCCCUAUUUAUUUGAAUCAAGAAUAGAUAAAUGAGGAAUCAGGACUGUGCUGCCACUGUCACACCAUUAUUUUUCCUUUCAUCCCAGGGAAUUACCAAAUCCUGCCUCUUACAGAAGAACUUAUAUCAUUUUUCAUGAUUCCUGUCUUCUUUGCCAGUGGCUUCUUCUUCUUUUUUUUUUUUUUUCAAGUGGAAGACAAAGUAGGAAGAAAGAGUUUGGUGAAUAAUAGGGAGAGAUAACUUAGAAAUAAGUCACUCCCUAAUGGCUACAUGACAAUUACUAGAAGCACUACAUUUCUACAUGGUAAAGCAGCAAAGCUUUGAUGCCAGAGCCCAGUGAUAGCAGAGGGAGGAAAAAGGUCUUAGCUCUUCUGCGUGGAUCUGGAGACUCAAAGAUAUUUUCUUUUUGUGCAUUUAAAGUCUCAUCUUUUUCUUCUAUAAACCCGAGAUGUAGGGCACUUCCAACUCCAACUGGCUUCCAGCUGAGCCUGUGCCACUGCACCCUCAUCCCUCCCACCCACCCAAAGGAUUUCAACAUGAAAAGCCCCUGACCUCUUUCAGAGGGAACAGGAUGCAGCAAAAAUGAAUUAACUAUUUGUGAUGGCCUCACCCUCUCCAAGUGCCCUUCCAAAUCCCAGCCCUUCGAUGGCUCUACAGUGAACUGAGCCUUUUGUUCCUGGCACGCUGGAAGGAGGUCUGAGCAUUAGUUUUGCUUACUCUGGUAAAUCACUCUUCAAAUGCCUUUUUAAGCUUCCCUAAGUGCAUUCAAUCUUUUAAAUUCAAUCUGCCAGAGUUAAAGUCUCUCCUAAUUUUUCUUUAUUAGAGCAGGACACCAGCUUUUUGAAUGAUGCCUCUCAUUCCUAAUAACCUCCCUGAGCACAGUACAGAUGCUGCACCUCUCCUCACUCCUGGCAGCAUGUCCUGACCUCUUUACCUCUCUCUCUCUCUUUUUUUUUUUUAAGCUGAGUACAAAUUUGCAAAAAUAUUUCUAAUUUAGCUCAAGAUAAAAUA